GGGGUUGUGGCUCAACAGUAGAGCACUCACCUAGCAUGUGUGGGGCUCUGGGUUCAAUCCUCAGCACCA
rnacentral:tRNA from 1 species